rnacentral:lncRNA from 1 species
CAGUCCUGUUCAGGGGAACUGGGCAGCAUCCCUCAAGGACCUUUCCCAUCUCAAAACAAACCAAUGAAAAAGCUGUCCCCAGGUUGCCUUGACUCCUGGGCGCUACUUCUAGAACAAUCAGAUGCCUCCUUGCACCUGACCGUACUGCUUUACUGUGCGAGGCAGAAAGAGAAUUAGGGGGAGCCUGAAAGGUCUGGAGCCAUAAGGAGAGGGGUGUGUGGUCCUGUGCUGGGGCUCGGGCUCGGGCUUGGGCUCGGGCUCGAGCUGGUGGCUGCCUUCCCUGCAGAGCAAGGAGAGACAGAGCCCAAGACAAGUGGCUGCUGCCCACUCACGAGGUGAAAAUCCCCAGGUACUGGAGAGCAGAAGAAAGGCAACAGUAAUCAGCUGUAGGCUUCAGAAAAGUCAAGGCAGGAGGGCACAGCCCAUGGAAAUGGCAAGCAAAAACUUCGAAGGCUCAGAACCAGCAGUCCAGCACCGACACUCUGACCUUCACCCUCUGUGUCAGCACCCAGGGGAGUCUUCCAGAGGAAACUGACGCUCACCAAGAGGAAAUGUAAAGAGACAGCUUUGCCAUUCCUCAGCCAAGACCCCAGUCAGUCUCUCCAGAGGGAAGCCCCAGCACAAGCCCACCCAGCCCCAAGCUGCCUCCCUCGAGCUCAUUUGAGCCCUUCAGACAACCCUGAAGAGAAAACCCAACAAGACAACCACCAGGGUAGGGGCAGGUGAGGGGGGAUCUUUGAAGAAACAGACUUAGGCAAGGAGGAGAAAAUAUCAGAAAUAGCCGUAUUUAAUAUCCUCGAAGAGAUCAGAGGAGAUAUUGCAUCCCAGAACCAAGAGCAGGAUGCUAUUUUAAGGAGAACAUUUAGAGAACAAAAAGGGCUGGGAAAUUAAAAGCAUGAGAGCCGAAACAAAAAAAAAAAAACUCAACAGACUGGUUGGAAGAUAAAAGUAAGCGAAUGUCCCAGAAGGCACAGCAAAAAGACAAAGAGGAAAAAAGAAAGAAAGGAGGAAAAAUUAGAUGCCACAUUCAAACUACACAAAAGAAUCCUGGGGCGGCGGGCCGGGGGGUGAAUGAGAAUCACAAACUAUUUAAUUCAAGAAAUGUUCCCAGAAAUGAGAAUGAGUUUUCAAAUUCUACACACAAUGGAUGGAAAUUGACCCACAUCAAGGCAUAUUAUAAUAGAAAAUAGAGAAAGUUCCCUCAGGUUUCCAAGCACUAUGAAAAAGAGCAAGGGUGAGAGUGACUCCUGAAUUUUCAACAGCAACAGCAGGGCAAGCUAACAAACAACACAGUAUGCCUUCAAAACGCCAACAGAUAGUGAUUUCUGGCCUAGAAUCUUUUACUUAAUCAAAACGACAAUAAAAUGUGAAUUAAAAUAAAGACGUUUGAAUAGGCAAAGUGUCAAAAAUAUUAUUUCCUGUGUGCCAUCUUCCAGCUACUGCAGGAUGUGCUCCAACAAAACAAAGAAGGAGAACAUGAAAGAGGGCAACAAGGGAGAGAGAAAACAGGGGCUCCACUAAGAAAACAAGAGGGACAGGUGCACAGGACAGUGAGAAGAGAUGACAAGAGGGCAGAUGUGCACUAGGCAAGAAGCCAUCGUCUAAAUGAGAGCAGGGAAACCAGACAAGCCAACUGUCCAGGGCACAGACACAUCGAGGGCUGUCGUCAGUGAAAUGCUUUUGACACCGUAAAAACCUGGCCUAGAAUCUUCUCUGUACUCAGAGGCCAGGCUGAGAUGGAGUUCCCCCUCCUCUCUCUCUGCAGCACAACUGAUAUAGGCUGGACACAUUUCAGCCCUCAGAGGUCUCCUACCUUGACCCACUCUUAGAAAUGGGAAGGAGGUCACCGUGAGCUAGGAAACAGAAAGGCAGAUCAGCUGCUUACCCCACCCAGCACCCAGCCAGGCACCCCAGCUGGCGUCUCCUUUCCCCAGGACCCCUUAUGCCCUGCUUACUCUCGAAAAGGGUCUCUUGAAAAUUGCUGGGCAACUGAGGUCCAAGACCUUUCCCUUUGUCUCCUCCCAGGCCCCUCCCUCUAGGAACAGCAGCCCAAAGGCACCUUGGGCAGAGAGGACACCGAAGGUCAGCUUCUGUCUCCAUCACCAUGCACAUCCACUCUGGAAGUUAAUGACAGCACAAAAAUAGGGUAAAAUGUUUGAGGAAAACAGGGUAUGAGGGGGCUUCUUUCCCAUCACCAGCUUUUAACGUUAGGCCCACAGAUAAGCAAUACCACAGGCUGCUGCGGAGAUUAUGUUACAUCUGGUACCAGGUUGCCCAAGUGGUCUAAUUUUAUUUUAUUUCAUUUUAUUUUAUUUAUUUUUGUGGUUCUGG